UAAGGUUACAGCACGUUGAGUGACUGUCUUACUCACGAUAACGCUAAUAAUUAGUAAGAGUACUGUAAGUGCUCCGUAUCGCUGAGGCAUCCUACGGGAUGUUAUACCUUAU
rnacentral:sRNA from 1 species